GCUCACCCUUUCCUAUCAAUGUACUUUUCAUUGAUCAAGGUGCUUGCCUUUUAUGCGUUCAAAUGAGAACUCAUAGAACUCACAUGCAUAAUUAACUCAAUUGGAAUGGCACAGAAACAAGAUAGUGUCAACACGAUAGGUUGUAAACCUCAACUCGUGUGCUAGUGAUGAUCGAUAAGGUUUAUUUUGAUUUGUUCUUGAAACCUUUCAAGACCAUUAAGACUCCCACUGACUCCUUGACAUAUAAGAUUCUCUUGUCAAUAAACAUUUCUUGACAAACAAAUAUUCAAGAGUUAGUGUAGUUUUUAUCAAAACACUUCAUAAAUUGGUCCUAGUUGGUCUUUGUCUUAUCCAAGACAUCACAACUUUCCACAUUUGAUGAAUGUUAUAAACCUUCUUAAUACUUAUCACUCAAUGUCACAAUCUUAACUCUAAGACUUGUUUUGGAACGAAGUAUGAUUGACUUCUUGAUUUAACCAUUUCUUCAAUUCUUGAUUCCUCUUCUUAGACAUACAAUUGUACUAAGACUCACUUAGAGGAUCAAUUGAGAUAUGGUUCUUAAUCAUUAAGACCUAUCAUAAAGCAUAAAAGGUACUCUCCCUUCUUCUUAGAAUGGAGAAACUUUUAUCUUUCUGCCUACUUGAUUCUUCUUAUUCGUUCUGCUAUUGAUUUAAACUUUUUCAAUCAAUUCAGAAUUACACUUAAUCUUAUAAGUAUAAUCAUAUUUACUAAACCUUUAGUAAAUCAUGACGAAUAUCUUUGUUACUCUUAUGGUGGACUUGAUCAACACGCAACUUUGUGUACUCGAUCUCCUAGUCCUUCACUUGACACUUUGUCAAUGAAUUAGUCUAAUUUCCAAAUAUGAAAUUUCUCAUUCAUCGUGCAACCAAGUUGCAUGAUUCCAAGUUUCUGUCCAAUUGAAACUUGGGCGAUGAGAAACUCUCCCUAUUUGGUAAAUUCUCGACUUUCCAUAAAUAACAUAAUAAGAACCAAAUCCAUUAUUGCUAAUAAUAGAAACAUUCAAACAUCAAUUUUUCAUAUACGCCAUUGCAAGGAUAAAUAAAUAAUAUAAAAUCAAAAUUUAUUUUAUUGCGGAAAAAUUUUUCCUUACAAUGCAAUUCAUUGAAAAACUAUGCUAAUACAUCUUUCUUAGCAAUCUAAUUCUAACUCUAAGUAGUAGCUCAAGAAUCUAAUCUUCGAGAAAUGCGAUCGAAAUCCAUUCCUUCACGGUUAGAUUCUGCUCACUUCUUCCCUUAAGCUUCCUUUCUUUUCUUCGAUCCUACAAAACAUCAAUUGUAAUCUUAUCACAUUAUGUAUUAAGAAUCUAGAAUAGAAGCUUAAAAGAGUUAGUUAAUGGAUUUUACCUAUAUUAGAGCCAUACGUUUCGACUCUCCCAUCUCUUAGAUCUCUUAGGUAAAUGGGGCAGCUUCGUCUCCAAUGCCCUUUCUCUUGGCAAUAAAAGCAAAUUGACUCUUUUGGAACAUGACAUGGAACUACUUCAGACAUUGCCUUUCUCUUAUGAUCAAACUUUUCGAUCAUAGCAUGUCUUUCGUUGCCAUUGUCUAUAUCCAUAGAGGUCUUGAAGGCAGAUUCACCAAUCAACUUUGCUUUUCUAUUGCGCCAAACCAUUGCUGAUUCAGCAGCAAUAAGCAUAUAGGUGAGAUCUAUAAGGGUCACGUCGCGGUUCAUCAUAUAGUACUCUCUUACGAACUCACUAUAUGAGUUAGGAAGUGACUGAAGAACCCAAUCAACAGCCAUUUCCUCACAGACAACGGAUCCCAACAUUCUUAACCUAUCAAUGUGUGACUUCAUCCCUAGGACGUGUGCACACACCGACUUUCCUUCUUUAUGUUUACUUGCCAAAAGGGCUUGAGUGAUCUUGAACUUUUCAAGCCUUUGAACUUGUGGGUUAGGGAGAAUAAUUGGAGGAGGUGGAGGAAGUGAAGCAUGAUUUCUUGUUCCUCGAUCGAAUCGUGGAAUAUCAUCUUCAUGUGGAAUGCUUGUUCCACGGGAUUUGGGAAGACCAUAGUUGUCGAACUUUGACAUCUACAAAACGGGAGAAAACGAAUUCAAGUUAGUUGAUUGAUUGAGUCCUUAGUAAAUCACCCAAAUGAGAUACUAAGGCUAGGACCCAACACAAUAUUCUACAACUCGGGAGAGGGAUGCCGUAACCCAAAUUGCAGAACAUUUGAAGGUAAGUGAAUGACGAUUCACUAAUUUCCACCAUGAAAAACGAAAAAGAAAUUUAAGUUUUAAAUCUAUGAAAACUCCUAGAUCCUUUGAGAUUCAUUGAACAUUUCAAUGGCAUGUUUAAAUCUCGAUAUGCCCCUCUUGUUUGUGACUGGGAUGCCGAGGAUCACAAAGCGGGUGUGAAUAACCAUGCAAACUUACAUGGUGCCCUCACAUGUUACAGUCACCUAUUCGAUGUGCCGGUAAACCACACACGCUCCACCGAACUAUGACAAACAUUGAGUCACCCUUUGCUACCUUUGCUUAGAACCAUUUAGUGUGCCGGUAAACCACACACGCUCCACUAACGUCUUCGCAAGGGCACAAAGUGUAAUUUCAUGGAAUUGCAUCAAUUCACUUUUGCCUAAGUAACUAAGAUUGGGAAUUUUAUGAAAACAUUUAGUUACUUUUAUACUUCAUUAUACUUAUAAUGGAAGGUUUUGUCCUAUCCUACCCGUUCGGCUAACGACCCUCCACUAGUCAAGAGUGCGGUGGGUAAGAGUGGAUACCCAUUCAAUCGCCAUUUUAUAGGCAAUUUCCUUAAACACCCCUUAUAGACCAGCUUCGUGAAUGAGGCCUACUAACGGUAAGACUGACUUUUACUCAUACAUAUAUAUAAUGUUAGACUUUUAAUGUUAUAUAUAGUAUAGGGUGUAUUUUACACUUUUAAAAUACUAGGUGGUCAAAUUUAACAAUUAUACUUUUAAUUCAAUUAAAUUGUAAACCUAAACUUUUAUGGAUUUAUUAAACCUCUUUUAAUUAUACACCUUAAUUAAUUAAUAAAACCAUAAGGGUGUGAUUUGAACUUUUUCAAAACUAUACUAGAGUUUUAGAAUUUAACAUUCCUAAUUAAACUUUUAAUCAACUUUUAAAUUCCAAAACUUGAGGGCAAGUUUUGAAACAUUUCAACACAUUAGGGUUUAGAAUUUAAAUAUACAUCAAAAUUAAACUAUUUAAUCAAAAUUUAAAUUCCAAAACUUGAGGGCAAGUUUUGAAACCUUUUUCAAAACAUUAGGGUUUCAACUAUUUAAAUUUCAAAACAACAAAACUUUUGGGUUCAAAUUUAAACUAUAAAACCUAAAGGGGAAAAUAUGAAACUUUUCAUAACAACAAGGAUCAAAUAACAAAUAAUCUAAAUUAACAUUUAAUCACAUAAUUAUCCAUAUUUGAUUUAUUUAAUGAUUUCUUGCAAAACAAUUUAUCAAUUUAAUCAAAAUAAUUAAUCAAUUAUCACAUAAGGAAACAAUUAUCUUAUUAAUUGAUAAAUAUCUUCAAUUAGAUCAAGAAUAUAGUCAAAUAUAUCAUAAAAUCGGAUUUAUAUUGAUCUAAUAUGAUAAGGUAACUAUCCCUAAGCAAAAACAGCAAGAAAUCCCGAGAUAUGCUCCAUCUGACGAGUUGACUCGUCGAGUCAAGCUUGGACUCGUCGAGUCUGCAUGGACUCGGCGAGUUCAGCUAUGGACUCGGCGAGUCCAGCCUCCAGAACAUCAAAAAUCGAAUUUUUUGAACAUGUAAUGCAUCAAUACAAUUGAAACCAGUCUAGGCUCUGAUACCACUGAUGGGUUUUGGUCAUAAGACAUCCUAUGUGCUCAUACAAACCCUAAUGCUUGGAUCUAGGUUUCUCUAUUGUACAUGCUUUGAAUCCAAGACUAUAAACCCUAAUUCUAGCAUAUGGAAAUCAAUAUUAACAUAUAAUUAGGUUUAAGAUAUUACCUUGAUUGUUAUGUAGCAAUAACAAUCCCAAUUCCUCCUUGAAUUGACUUUGGAAGGCUUAGAGUCACAAGUGUCACUCCUCUAAUGGCUUACAAACACCAUAAGCAAGAGGAUGAAGAGGAGAGAGGAUGGAGGCUACCAAAAACGUGUUCUAACCCUAGAAGAGAUGUUCCCAACGUUUUUGAGCCUUAAGGGUUCUAUAUAUAGUGAGGCUAUUAGGGUUAUCUAACAAGGAAACCCUAAUUUGGUUGCUUAAGCCCUAAGCAACCCAUAGACUCCUUUAAUCAAGCCCUUGGACGAUUUCCUUAUGGGCUUCCCAUAAGAAUUCGUCCACCUCUUGAUUUAAGACAAUCCAUGGCCCAAAUUGCAAUUAUCUUAUAAUUACAAUUCCAGUCCCUUAAGUUUAAUUAAUCUCUUUUAGUCACAAAACUAAUUACCAAUUAAUUAUUGACUAAUAUUAAUUAAACAAUAUGAUUUCUCCUUUAAUAUAUUAUUCUCAUAAUAUAUUAAUAAAUCAUAUUUAAUCCUUUCUCUCCAUAAUUCAUCCUAUCAAGUUGCUUUGGUGAAGGCAACCCAAAAGGACCAUGCACCAUCGGGUCAAGUACAUACCAAAAUAGUUAUGGACUUAGACACUAAUCCAACAGUCUCCCACUUGGAUAAGUCUAAUAACUAUUCUGCGUAUGACUUCAGAUCCUGAUCUGCAAUCGUAGCUUUCCAAAGCCGCUGUCAACUCUGAUCCUAUCAGAUACGCGUGUCCUUAGAUAAGGGAUCAUAUAUUCCUCCAUUCUAGAUAUCAUAUGAGAUAUGAUUUCAAAUCAUUCUCUUUGUACUAUAUCUCGAUUCCCGAUUUAUGACGACUGACUAAUUGAACAAAUCAAAUUAGCCCUAGCCCGGCCGAGCAUUUACGUUUGUCAUCACUAAAUCAUCGAGGGGCCCAAAGAUAUCGCUUUUAUCCUACUUUGGAUAAAAGGAACGGAUAAACUUUGAUACAAUGCUUGCUUGCACUCACUCACCGAAUCACACACAACAAUAUGUUUUAUAACACCAAGUUACUAGUGCGUUUACAUAUUAUCAAUGUGCAACCGAUUUGCAAGAUACAACUCACACAUCUCGGUUUCAAGAAUAUAAGAUGUUAUCGUCUCACCAAUCACUCGUGAUACAAUUCAUGGAGUGAUCCAAGUGAGCGUGGGUUUAAUCCAAUGCUCAAAUCAUAUUCAUAAGCACUCAUGAACGUUGCAGCAAACAUUUGCUUAUGUCUAAUACUCUUUAGACAAUCCACACACCAAUUCACGACAGUCUUCAUUCAUACCUACUUCCAACAUAUGAACGACUGUGGCCCGUUCGAAUAAUUUGACUGUUCUUAACCAAUUAAAUUAUUCAGGAAGUCAAAACAUGCAAAGUGAAACACAAGAAUAAUACUAAUCCCAUAUGGCCUCAAACCUUUGAGUAUAAAUAAAACACCUUUUAUUUAUCACCAUAUCGAUUACUCAUUAUUUGUCGUUUCGGGUAAUCAACUUCUUACUUGAAUUAUUACACUUGUCCCAUGCUCCUAGCAUGCACACAAUGUUUACCUAUGGUUCUUACUUUGUGAAAUAGAUCAAAUUGAACACAUUUCCAAUCAUUCUCAUUUCACAACUCCAAAUCCUUUUUCAUAAGUGAAAGAAUAUCAAAUUCUUGCUACUUAUAGAAUAUGCUAGAUUCUAACAUUUUAUGCAAUGAUCCUUUCGUAAUGUCACUGCACCAAAGUCACAAAGACUAUUGCCAAUGAUAUUACAAAGUCCUCUAUCGGAGAUUGUUACAAGACAAUUCCUUAGAUAUGAUGUCUCUCACUCAAAGUACAUUCCUUUGAACAUCCUUUUGCAUAAAAGUUUCUAAUCUAGACAUAGAUUUUCAAUAUUCAAUUCCCAAUAUGGACACGUUUCCAUAUUUUCCAUAUGACAACUCAUUCUUAAUAGAAUCUUAUCUAUUCAUAAUAAUGUCGAUAUGGUCCAUCCAAUAUGGAAACAUUUCCAUAUUUUCCAAUACUAUACUUCCAACUACUCACAAGCGACCAAUCCUCGUCGAACUUUGGAUUGUCCUUUGAUAGUUGUUUAAUUAUUUUAGUCAAAACCGAUUCUAGUCCUUUUUCCCUCUAAAUGCGCUAGACAUUUGGAAAAUUUUAGAAUGGUCAAACAUUAAAGCAUUUGCAAUCGAUCCUAUACCCGAAGCGUAUGGGACACGACGCAUAAUGUUUUAUUUGCUAUGUUCUCAAAAUUCGAAUUGUGAAGAGGAAUGCCGUAAUCAUAAUCGAAAUUUUAAGAACACACUAUGUACCUUUGACUAAAUUUAUUAACAUUUCUCAACCUAAUCCUUUAGAUUUGAAAUGAAGCAUAAUAUUCUCUCCCUUAAUUAUAGCAAAACAACUUUUCAACCCUUACGACUUUGCAAGGUAUAACUCUUGUUUUCUAUAAUUAAUAUUGCCAACUUGCAAUACGUGCCUUAAUAAUCAUACAAUCAUAACAUUUAUGCUCCCACUAUCAUGAUGAUUAUUAUAAAACAUAACACUUAUGCUCCCACUAGCUUCGACAUGUAUUCAUAAACAUCUUAACUUUCAGAAAAACAAUACUUAUUGAAUUUCUUAAGUUCAUGUUUCUAAUACUUAGUGCUUUGAUAAUCUUUUAUCAAGGCUUCUUGAACUUAUACACCUUUGCCUUCGAUAGUUCAUAUGUGUGUCUAAACAAUUAAGACUAAUUGCCAAACCUCACAAUUCAAAUUAUGGAAAGGGAUACCGUAACCAUAAUCGAAUUCGAGAAUGCAAUUUUACAAUCACUAUCUUCUUAAAAUCUUUCUUAGUGAAAGCAUUUCCUCACAAUCAUUUUCAUGAAGGAGGAAAUCUUAUGACACUUAGAUUUAAACGGUGUAUGUGUUCCUAUCCAUGUGAAUUUGUUAAAACCAAAGUUUACGACAAAUUCAAACUCAUAUGGACCGAACUUUCUUAAUCUUGAUUUCUUGCCUUAUGGUAGCACAGCUGCCCACCAUGUCUUCCAAGUAGUUAAGCAGCUCACCCUUUCCUAUCAAUGUACCUUUCAUUGAUUAAGGUGCUUUGCCUUUUAUGCGUUCAAAAUGAGAACUCAUAGAACUCACAUGCAUAAUUAACUCGAUUGGAUUGGCACAGAAUCAAAAUAAUGUCAACACGAUAGGUUGUAAACCUCAACUCGUGUGCUAGUGAUGAUCGAUAAGGUUUAUUUGAUUUGUUCUUGAAACCUUUCAAGACCAUUAAGACUCCCA
rnacentral:lncRNA from 1 species